rnacentral:lncRNA from 1 species
GUACUUCCAAGUACGAUACUGCUGACAGGUUAAGCCCCUCAAUCCCAAUUAGAGCCAACAACCUCCACAUCAGUAUAAUUUCCAUAAACAUUAAAAUAGAUGGACAUGGAGGUACUGCCGCAAUCGUGCUACACACAUCAUCAAUCGUGUCGCACUCUCCACUGAACAAAAACAACCAAUGUUGUAUCUUGCAUCCAAGGAGUACAUGGCUGUACUUUGCACAUCAUAAAUGCAAUCUGCAAAAUCUAGUCAUCUGCGCCAAGAACUACCCACUUUCUGUACACCUUUCACAACCAAGCCCAUGUACACUGCGACUGAUACUGGGGCAAGAAUACAGUACCUGCAUGAUUAUCCAGGUUGGACUGACUCUGGUCUGCUCUCUGCCUCACGUCAGAAGAACCCUGGAUAGAUAAAUCGGAAGCUGUACAGGAUUUGUAUCCAGAGUCAAAUAUAGCAAUGGCGCGGUCAAGUCAGAUCACCUUAUUCGCACACCUUAGUCUGUUAAUAGCCCUUAUGUAUUGGUGAGCUUUACAUAUUGUCGAAAUUCAGACUUGCACCUUGGCCCAUCCCAUACACCCAAAAAGCCUAACUGUAAACAUUGAUUCAUCCACGAUAGGAACGUAUCAGCUAAUAUGUCCAUUCGAUCCACCUUACCAAGACUAGUCAAGACAGCCAGAGUAAACGUGCCCCAACCCCGUUCGAUAAAUACAGAUCAAGCCAGCCUGCCAUCUUACCUGCAUAUGAUGACGGAUUGCAGAUGAACACCUGAGAUCUAUUGCUGCCCCAACUCCGUUUCCAAUCUGGCCUGCAGCGCAAAUAGAUCCAUGAAUGAUCACCAUCCUGCUAUGCGCCCAAUGGCAAAGUACAUCCCGACAACCAGAGAAACCAUGCGCACGGCUGAAGUGAGGUAUUUACCUUCGAUAGAUCCGUACAAUGGCCGGCUGGGCGAGAUGUCGAGGGCGGCGGUGCCCGCUGCCGCCCCGGCGCUGGGUUUCCCCGGCGGCCCGCCCGUCCCGGUGCCUCCUCGCCGCACCAGAACCUCCUGCGUCUCGCUCAGGAUCGGGUCCCCUCGGCCUCUCUGCCCCUGCUGAAUCCCCCUCCCCCGCCGGCUAGCCUGCUCCUAGAGAUAAAGGGGGGCGCAUAUAGACCAGAGUCACGGGCCGUGUCCCAUAGCUGUUUGUCUCGUUUCUAGCUGAUGAACAGUACCCUACGCUAUGUAGUAGGCGAGAUCACGGACGAAGGACCUGCUAACCCGACCGAUAUAACCGUGGCCUGGCAAACUUACGGUAGCGGCUGGCACAUAUCACGAG